UCACGGGAGAACUAAAAAUCCAACAACCAUCUCAACAAGAAUCUGAAAAAAAUGUUUAUCGUUUAAUUCAUAGGUCAACGAGAGCCUUGACUCAAGUAGCUCACCAGAGAUGUUGGAGUUGAAGCUGGCGGAGAAGUCAAAAGAGUCGUGAAGGAGAUUUGUUGCAUCAAGGCUCGAGACGAUGGAGGCAGGCAGGCUUCGCAUCGGAGGAUCGGAUGGUGAGCUCCCGGAGCUAAAAGUCGACGAAUCCGGAGACGGCAAUUGAAUGAAUGACGAAGAGGGAUUCCGAGUUAAUGAUUUUUUUACUGUU
rnacentral:lncRNA from 1 species